rnacentral:rRNA from 1 species
AGUCGACGCUUUGAUUUCACCGGGUGCUUGCACCCACCGAAGUCAAAGAGUGGCGGACGGGUGAGUAACACGUGGGUAACCUGCCCAUAAGAGGGGGAUAACAUUCGGAAACGGAUGCUAAUACCGCAUACUUCUAAUCGCCUCCUGGCGAAUGGAAAAAAGGUGGCUUCGGCUACCGCUUAUGGAUGGACCCGCGGCGUAUUAGCUAGUUGGUGAGGUAAUGGCUCACCAAGGCGAUGAUACGUAGCCGACCUGAGAGGGUGAUCGGCCACACUGGGACUGAGACACGGCCCAGACUCCUACGGGAGGCAGCAGUAGGGAAUCUUCCGCAAUGGACGAAAGUCUGACGGAGCAAUGCCGCGUGAGUGAAGAAGGUUUUCGGAUCGUAAAACUCUGUUGUUAGAGAAGAACAAGGAUGAGAGUAACUGCUCAUCCCCUGACGGUAUCUAACCAGAAAGCCACGGCUAACUACGUGCCAGCAGCCGCGGUAAUACGUAGGUGGCAAGCGUUGUCCGGAUUUAUUGGGCGUAAAGCGAGCGCAGGCGGUUCUUUAAGUCUGAUGUGAAAGCCCCCGGCUCAACCGGGGAGGGUCAUUGGAAACUGGAGAACUUGAGUGCAGAAGAGGAGAGUGGAAUUCCACGUGUAGCGGUGAAAUGCGUAGAUAUGUGGAGGAACACCAGUGGCGAAGGCGACUCUCUGGUCUGUAACUGACACUGAGGCUCGAAAGCGUGNGGAGCAAACAGGAUUAGAUANCCUGGUAGUCCACGCCGU